rnacentral:rRNA from 1 species
GACGAACGCUGGCGGCGUGCCUAAUACAUGCAAGUCGAACGAACCGCGACUAGGUGCUUGCACUUGGUCAAGGUGAGUGGCGAACGGGUGAGUAACACGUGGGUAACCUACCUCAUAGUGGGGGAUAACAGUCGGAAACGACUGCUAAUACCGCAUAGGACAUAGGAUAACAUGAUCCAGUGAGGAAAGGUGGCGCAAGCUAUCGCUAAGAGAUGGACCCGCGGUGCAUUAGCUAGUUGGUAGGGUAAAGGCCUACCAAGGCGAUGAUGCAUAGCCGACCUGAGAGGGUGAUCGGCCACAUUGGGACUGAGACACGGCCCAAACUCCUACGGGAGGCAGCAGUAGGGAAUCUUCCGCAAUGGACGCAAGUCCGACGGAGCAACGCCGCGUGAGUGAAGAAGGUCUUCGGAUCGUAAAGCUCUGUUGUUAGAGAAGAACAGCGCAUAGAGUAACUGUUAUGCGUGUGACGGUAUCUAACCAGAAAGCCACGGCUAACUACGUG